rnacentral:rRNA from 1 species
CAGUAGCCACGGUAAAACGUAGGUGGUAAGCGUUACUCGGAAUUACUGGGCGUAAAGCGUGCGUAGGUGGUGGUUUAAGUCCGUUGUGAAAGCCCUGGGCUCAACCUGGGAAUUGCAGUGGAUACUGGAUCACUAGAGUGUGGUAGAGGAGAGUGGAAUUCCACGUGUAGCGGUGAAAUGCGUAGAGAUGUGGAGGAACACCAGUGGCGAAGGCGACUCUCUGGUCUGUAACUGACACUGAGAGACGAAAGCUAGGGGAGCAAAUGGGAUUAGAUACCCGCGUAGUCCCUGUCUCUUAUAC